GGGUUUUUAGCUCAGCUGGUAGAGCAACGGACUCUUAAUCCGUGUGUCCAGGGUUCGAGCCCCUGAAGACCCACCA
rnacentral:tRNA from 1 species